GGAGGCAGCACCAUAUCCUAAAAUUGGAACAAAACAGAGAUUAACAUGGUCCCUGAGAAAGACUGACAGACAAAUUCUUGAAGCACUUCAUAUUUUU
rnacentral:snRNA from 1 species